AUCAAGUUUCUCAGUAUUCUGUAGCGCAUUCAAGUAAUCGUUAAAGAAAACAAAACAGUUAUUUCAUUAAAUUUAAAACUUACCAAAUAAAUUAAGAAUAUUCCAACAUACAAGAAUGAAUAAAACGCACGUGUUCAAGAUACAUAAUAAACAUCUAUACCACGUGAUAUACAAUUAAAAUAAGUAGAAAAACGUAAACAGAGAGAACGUAUGUUUUCCGGAUUUUAUUGCUAUGCAGUUUUUUGUAAACUAUAUAGAUUGUAAUAAUAUAUUAACCACUUUUGAAACUUAUAAUAAGUUUAUCUUGUGAAUCCCCUGGUUCAUUUGAUAAUUCACACACAGGGAUAAACCUAUCUGGGAU
rnacentral:lncRNA from 1 species